ensembl:snRNA U6 U6 spliceosomal RNA
AUACUCACUUCGGCAGCACAUAUACUAAAACUGGAACGACACAGAGAAGAUUAGCAUGGCCCCUGCACAAGGAUGACAUGCAAAUUCUUGGAGCGUUCCAUAUUUUU